GUGUUACUCAUGAGCUCAUGUUUUAGAUAUUGUCUUUAAUGAUCACUGUAAUGAACAUUUUCACCCACCACCUAGAGACCUAAAAAUGCAAUGCUUUAAGGUUUGAAUCAUUGGCAGCGGCCGGCCAAUCACAUUACAUUUUCUGCCAAGUAUCUCUGAAGCAUUACCACUGGCAAUGUAAAAAUAGCUGAUGAGUGAGUAUGUCUGUUACUUGACACCGCAUGGUUAUUCUAAUACGUAUGUUUGCUUCUUCCCCAGCAUGAACUCCAUUUGGUUUCCCCUUGCCUGAUAUCUAUUUAAGUACAUUUUAGUAACUUUGAAUUUCUUGCUCACUUCAUUUCACCUGACUAGGCAGGUCUGUGAGGGCUCAGAGCUUGGUCUCCUCUACUUUUUUUUGUUUUGUUUUCAAUUCUUAUUCCGAUUAAAGAGUCAUGUUAAAAAGGGUAUCCUGGAGCAUAUAAAUAAUGGGAAGUGUUAGUAGUAAGCUAACUGUUCUAUACAGUGGGGUAAGGUUUUGGCUUAACUGAAGAAAGCACAAUGCUGUACUAUUUCUGAUCAGGAAACUGGAUCACAGAAGAGUUCACUAGAGGCCAAAAAUGCUGAAGGUCGAAAACAUAUUACGACACCACUUCUGCCAAAUCUACUUCAUUGAACUAUUUUUAACUCCUCACUAAAGAUGGGCAGCAAUGAGGCCAAAUGCAAGCAUGAGAGGAAGUUCUAAAUACACCCAAGCACGGAUGACAAAAUUACACAAGAGGUUUGUGCCUGCAGUAUCCACUCUCAUAACAGAGGAGAAACUCCCGUUUUGUGAUUCCAUAAGGUGAAUUAAUGUAAAGCAAUACGUUCUGGAAGAAGAAUUCUAGGAGAAAACAUUGCAAACGGUUGGGAAUAUCCAACAGAAUCUUCUACCUAUUUGACAUAUGCAAUUAAUGCUUGGGAUAAUUU
ensembl:lncRNA